UGGAUUCAUGCUAAACAGCAUGCAUGUGGAAGUCCUGACCUCAAGAGCAGUGUUUGACCUCUAAAAAUGAAAAAUAACUACAAGCAACCUGUCUGGGAACUAAAAUUCAAGCAUGAAGAAAUCAUGUCCUCUAUCUAUGGAGAAAGAAACAAUACUUGCUUGAGAAAGGGGGAUGGAUGAAGUUGUAUGCUGGUUUUUUUUAAAUUUUUUAUAAUCUCAUGAACAUUUUUGAAUUAUUUUCAAUUAUCUAAACAAGAUGAGAUUAUCCUUCUUCUUUGGGUUUUUCUAGCAUCUACCUUGGAUAUUUGUGUUUUCUGUCCAGCAGGUUCAAGAAACUUAGUUCUAUGCACAACACCUAAAUGGUUAGGAAAACACAACAGAUACCUUAGCUGAAUCAGCGAUAGAGUGAACAUUCAAGAUGAGAUGGCUGCUGCUGAUGUCUCUCUCUAGGUCAUCCUACUGCAAAUGCUGCAUGAUAAGCUUACAGUCAUGUUUGAUUCCUGAGGAUUUUAUAGAUGCAUUCAUUUGGUUUUCUUGGCAAGAAUACUGAAGUGGUUUGCUAUUACUUUCUUCCAGUUUUGACUUUUCAUUGUAGCCUACAGUACAGCUAUUUCUUAGCCAUUAUCUAUCCAAAUAAUAAGUUGGUUUGAUUUUGCUUAGCUGAAUUACUAGAUACUAUGCUUCCAAAAGAAAAGAUAUGAAUUAGAAAUCGAACAUGUACUGUAGGAAUUUUACUCUGUGAAGACUCCUCUUCUGUAUUCUGAACUGACUGGAGCAGAAGCUAAUGUAAUUUCAGCACUGGUGAUGGAACAUAAUCUUCUACCUGAACUUUAAGAAUUUUGGAACUAAUUAGACAGCUGGUAUGGCAUGAACAGUUUUGCUAUCAACAGAGGAAAUAACCUGGAACACAGAAGGAAGACUUAGACCGGAACUGCUGUUGGUGGUCUACAUUCACUCCAGAAUUCACCACCUAAGGUGACUAUCUGCAAAGGCUGAAGCUGCCAAGGGCAGAAGUAUAGUUUUAAAAAAUAAGAUUGUAUCCAAACACUGUUCAGACACUCUUAGAAUGGGCAGGAAAAAUCGUUUAUCACAUAGGGUGGGGGAAAAAAGAGACAAAAAAAUUAAACCCUGAACCUGACAUAUUAACAUAGUUGGAUUAAUAAAAACUGCAGUAGUUGAUCUUUGUUAUUAGGGCAACAUAUUUUUCAAUAAAAGCAUUUUAUGUAUUUGAACUUUGUUCUUUCUUCCACUGCUAGGCUCAUGACUGCAUGUUUGCUUUCCUAGAUAUUCAUUUCCAUGCCCAGGAUGAAACUAUAACAAGAACUGGCCAUUCUCAGGUUAGAUAAAACCAUUAUAUAAACAAUGAAUGAUAUUUCACAAUCUCAAGUACAGGAAGAAAAUGUUCAAAUUUCUCUAGAUGCAAAAAAGCAGAAGGAAAAACUCUAGAAUUUAAAUGGAGGAAGAGGGAGAGAAGGAGGAGGCAGCGAUCUAAGUUCUGUAGUACAUAGAUUUUCUCCACAUGUGGCUUUUAUCUUUCUGCAAUAAAAUAGUUUAUCUUGCA